rnacentral:lncRNA from 1 species
GAAGACAAUAAGCAAUCGGUCGAAUCCACCCAAACCUCAAAACCUUCUACAAAUGUGAGACCUUUAAAAACAUAUUAUCACCAACCUGAUAUUCGACAUCUCGAUGUCUCAAAUCAGCAAAAGAUUUCUGCCUAUCUGAAGUAGUCUUCAACCGCUCACAAAUAAGUUUCACCUUGUCCUCGAUUUCACGAACCAAAUCCGG